UAUUGUCAAUCUAAGUGUUGAAGGUUUAACCGCACAAGAAACUUUCCAAAUCACUUAAAAGAGGGUCGAAACAUUCAUCAUUAACUUUCGUGAAUCGCAUCCAGUUGGUUGAGGUUCAAGGCAAAAAUUGCACAGCUUUUGCGAGGGUGACAAGUUACCUGCAUUUCCUGCUAAAGCAUAGCUCCCAGGGAUUAUUUAAUCCAAGCUCUCAUGUAUCAAUGUGUUUAGCUGGAAAUGAAGUACCUGAAUGGUUCGACUAUAUGGGCAUGGGAUCUUCAUUAGAAGUGGAGCUGCCUCCAUAUUGGUAUAGUAACAAGUGGAUGGGGUUUGCAAUUUGUGUAGUUUUCGAACCCAAUGCGCUUUCAUUAUCGGAAACUGCUAGUCUUUCCUGUGAUUUGCACGCAUAUAUGUCAGAUCAACCAUUAUUUCUAGGUCGCCAAAGCACAGAAAUCUCAGGGGAUACUGCAGGCAAUAUGGCAGAGAAAAUUUGGUUCAACUUCAUACCAGGCAGCUCUUUAAACGGUGUAGCUUGGGGUGAAGCAUGUAGAAAAAUAAAGAUGACAUUUUUUUCAAAUGGAUUGAAGGUGAAGUACUGUGGGUUUCGCAUAAUAUAUGAGCACGAUGUUGGUGAAUUGGUGAAUUAAUCCAAUGCAACAGGCUUGAGAACUUGGGUUUCCCCUGUCAUAACAAUUCUGCUACAAGCAAGAGAAGCCAUGAUGAUUAUUGCAGUGACAGUAUCGAUAGUGAAAGUGGCAACUUUGUUAAGAGAAUGAAAAUGCCUUGAAGUUACACUGUGACAAUGAUACUCUCAAUCUCUAUACUCUGGAAGAUUGGUUGUCAGUUUUUAAGUUGCAUGGAACUAGAGUACUCGUGCAAAUUAAACUAAAGUAUAUAUAUAAUAUAUGUUUAGUUUAAUUUUUAUUCUUUUUUUCUAUAUCGAUAUCCAUAAAGACGAAGUUUGCAUCAUAAAUAAUGUUUGAAAUGCAAGCUGUUUUAUUAAAUAGGAAAAGUUUAUUUCAUAGCUAACGUUGUUAUUAAAAAAACUAAUGUUUACAUUCCAAAGGAUGAGACGAGAUUUUAGAUAUUUUUUUCC